CUGGUGUUUAUCCGUCACUCGCCGAGGUUCCUUGGGUCAUGGUGCCAGCCUGACUGAGAAGAGGACGCUCCCGGGAGACGAAUGAGGAACCACCUCCUCCUACUGUUCAAGUACAGGGGCCUGGUCCGCAAAGGGAAGAAAAGCAAAAGACGAAAAUGGCUAAAUUCGUGAUCCGCCCAGCCACUGCCGCCGACUGCAGUGACAUACUGCGGCUGAUCAAGGAGCUGGCUAAAUAUGAAUACAUGGAAGAACAAGUAAUCUUAACUGAAAAAGAUCUGCUAGAAGAUGGUUUUGGAGAGCACCCCUUUUACCACUGCCUGGUUGCAGAAGUGCCGAAAGAGCACUGGACUCCGGAAGGUUACAGUCUCUAGCUUCGCCAUGUACAUGGCCCUUCCGUGUACAUGGAUGGGCGGGGAGGUAACUAAAAGAUCCUUUACACAAUAAAGUAGAUGAUCAUGAUAAAUGAGGACACAGCAUUGUUGGUUUUGCCAUGUACUAUUUUACCUAUGACCCGUGGAUUGGCAAGUUAUUGUAUCUUGAGGACUUCUUCGUGAUGAGUGAUUAUAGAGGCUUUGGCAUAGGAUCAGAAAUUCUGAAGAAUCUAAGCCAGGUUGCAAUGAGGUGUCGCUGCAGCAGCAUGCACUUCUUGGUAGCAGAAUGGAAUGAACCAUCCAUCAACUUCUAUAAAAGAAGAGGUGCUUCUGAUCUGUCCAGUGAAGAGGGUUGGAGACUGUUCAAGAUCGACAAGGAGUACUUGCUAAAAAUGGCAACAGAGGAGUGAGGAGUGCUGGUGUAGAUGACAACCUCCAUUCUAUUUUAGAAUAAAUUCCCAACUUACCUUGCUUUCUAUGCUGUUUGUAGUGAAAUAAUAGAAUGAGCACCCAUUCCAAAGCUUUAUUACCAGUGGCGUUGUUGCAUGUUUGAAAUGAGGUCUGUUUAAAGUGGCAAUCUCAGAUGCAGUUUGGAGAGUCAGAUCUUUCUCCUUGAAUAUCUUUCGAUAAACAACAAGGUGGUGUGAUCUUAAUAUAUUUGAAAAAAACUUCAUUCUCGUGAGUCAUUUAAAUGUGUACAAUGUACACACUGGUACUUAGAGUUUCUGUUUGAUUCUUUUUUAAUAAACUACUCUUUGAUUUAA
rnacentral:sRNA from 1 species